UACGUAGGGGGCAAGCGUUGUCCGGAAUCAUUGGGCGUAAAGAGCGUGUAGGCGGCUCGGUAAGUCCGCUGUGAAAGUCCAGGGCUCAACCCUGGAAUGCCGGUGGAAACUGUCGAGCUAGAGUCCGGAAGAGGAGAGUGGAAUCCCGGUGUAGCGGUGAAAUGCGCAGAUAUCGGGAAGAACACCUAUGGCGAAGGCAGCUCUCUGGGACGGUACUGACGCUGAGACGCGAAAGCGUGGGGAGCGAACAGG
rnacentral:rRNA from 1 species